rnacentral:rRNA from 1 species
GACGAACGCUGGCGGCGCGCUUAACACAUGCAAGUCGAGCGAAGCGGCGGACGGGUGAGUAACACGUGAGUAACCUGCCUUAGACAUUGGGAUAGCCUCGGGAAACCGGGAUUAAUACCAAAUGGUCUAAGAUGGACUCGCGUCCCAUUAGCUAGUUGGUGGGUAACGGCCCACCAAGGCGACGAUGGGUAGCCUGCCUGAGAUGGUGAACGGCCACAGUAGAACGGAGAGACGGUCGGAACUCUACUGGAGGCAGAAGUGGGGAAUAAUGCAAAAUGGAGGGAUGACUGAGGCAUCGACGCUGUGUGAACGAAUAAGGCUUUCGAGUCGUAAAGGUUGUUUAUAUGGGAAGCGGUACCAUAAGAAAAAGCCCCGGCUAACUACGUGCCAGCAGCCGCGGUAAUUC